CGUGUCGUUUACGUUCUUCGUUUUUCCAACGACGGAGGCGUUCCAGUUUCCGUAACUGAAUCCGUUGUGGUCGUGACGUCUUUAAUCAUGUGUCUUUAAUCCUAUUCAAUUGCGUUGUUCCGUCGGUGAAAUCCUGUAUAAAUAGUGAUAAAUUCCAAACUGGUAUGGCAUACACUUUCCAUGUGAGGGUCACUGCAUAUAACUUCACCGAGUAUCAUAAGACAUUCACCAUAUUGAUGAGCUUGGUCGUGUGCCAGUAGGCAACAUGGACAACGAUGGAGGUAACGCCUGAUGAGUUUGGAACUGGAGGAGGCAUCAGUAUCCCAUCGUCGGAUGCUGAUAUGGGUACAGUUGGAAUGGUGCGCACAAAAACGGACGUAACAUCGUCGAAGGUGGUGAGGAAGGCGCGUGUUGGUUGAUAUAUAUCAACAAUUAGUUCGUGAUUGGACUCGGUUUUGAUAAUGCUUAUGAAUGUUUGUUUACUUUCGCUUAUUUGUUUUUUUUUUCUUUUUUGGACAAUCUCAAUUUUUAUGGGUAAUUGAAGUUUAAAGAUUUGGGUUUA